rnacentral:rRNA from 1 species
UACGUAGGGUGCGAGCGUUGUCCGGAAUUAUUGGGCGUAAAGAGCUUGUAGGCGGUUUGUCGCGUCUGCCGUGAAAAUCCGGGGCUCAACCCCGGACUUGCGGUGGGUACGGGCAGACUAGAGUGUGGUAGGGGAGACUGGAAUUCCUGGUGUAGCGGUGAAAUGCGCAGAUAUCAGGAGGAACACCGAUGGCGAAGGCAGGUCUCUGGGCCACUACUGACGCUGAGGCGCGAAAGCUAGGGGAGCAAACGGG